UGACGCAAAACGCACGCGGCUCGUGUGGCGCUGUCUCCGUUGCGCCCCACACACGACCGCAUCACGCACCCCGGGCGGCUGUACCUCGUCAACACUGUGGAUGGAGCGCACGCUUGGGCUAAGUCUCCGCGCGCGCGCCCCCCCCACUAUUUGAUUUGUUGUCCUUUGCUCCUUCCCUCCCUAGUCAAGUCGGCCAUGUUGCGAUCUGCCAACCCCACGAUCGCCAAGGCGCUGCAGCCCCUCAUCGAGGGGCCCAAGUUUGCUAUCGUGUACUGCGGCAAUCACCAGUACAAGAUCAGCCCCGGCGACGUCAUCGCUGUUCAGCGUCUGCGCGCGCCCAUUGGGAGCCGAAUAGCGCUCAAGAAGGUGCUCAUGGUCGGCGGACCGCGUUUUACCGCCGUUGGCCGGCCGCUGCUGGAGCACGUGCGGGUGACCGCGGACGUUGAAGAACAGAAGCGUAUGCGCAAUGUGGUGUCGCUCUUCUCCACGCCAGGGCGCCGACGCUUGCGAUGGGUGGACGCGCAGCACGCGGCUACAAUACUGCGCAUCCGUGAGGUGGUCUACGAGCCGACGGUGUUAGGCGAGCUCGACAAGUACGACGGUGUACUGCUGAAGGACUUCCACGCAGACAGGCACCCGAACCCGGUCUUCACGGCCAAUGAUGGCUACGACUUGUACUACCCAAAGGACUGGGAUAAGGUGGAAGGGGCCUCAGCUUUUCUAGAGAUGAUGGAGGCCCCUCAGACGGAGAAGUAGCCCCGACAGGUGUGCGUGCGUGCGUACGCACGACCCCUCUCCCUUCCUCCUCCUUCUUCCCCUCCUUCCCUAACGUCGACGUACCGGGGCUGGCGAAUGAUGCAGACGUGCAUUUCUGUUGUUGAUGUUGUUGUGUCGUUUCCGAUGUGUCUGCGUGUCUGUGAAUGCCUCGAAUGCUGCCCUUGAUGUGGUGAAGGACGGCGGCACCCAUUUCUGGAGCCGUCGAAUGCGGGCAUGUUUUGUUGUUGUGCAUCGCUGCACCGGCGUUGGGUGGUCCGCAGCAUCACCGCCUGACGAGCUCGUUAUGCGGGUAUGCUCGCCCUUAACGCUGUCGGGGAGGGGCGGAUGUCCUCCACCAUGUCGUGCCUUUCCAUAACAAAGGAGAUCG
rnacentral:misc_RNA from 1 species